UAAAGCGGUGGGGUACCUCGAGGGGCUGCAGACCGGACUGGUGCAGUAAAAAUCUGUAAAUCGAAGUCCUCCGGCUGCUAGGCGGUCCAGGUUAGGGGUCAGUGAAGUAGGGUGUCCAUAACAGCCCAAGUCCCCGAAUCCCAGAUCAUCUGCGAAGAUGAGCACAAAAUUCGGUGGUGAAGCAGAGCAAAUGGACAAAACAUAGAGAACAAGGAAGGUGAAGAGCAGGUCUGCAGAAGGGCUGGUGCCUAUCUUCAAAGAGUGUCAGUGUUGUGAGUCCAGUCCAGUUUAUUGUCCAUGUGAACUACCCAAGAGUUCACUAUCUUAAGGUUCACUGCCUGGAUGUUCACCGGCAUCAGUGAGGUGUCGACCGUGUGAACCUGUGAGCUAAACUGUGAAGUGCCAUGCAGACGUGUCAGUGGAAGUCAACAUGACAUGGUGCAGCUCCUGAGCAGAGGGACCUGCAAUAGAAAACAUCCUGGCAAAUAGAGGUACGUUGGCACAAUAGAAGCUGGAUCAGAGCACCAAAUUAUGCAAUGAAAUCUGACAGGCCUCCAUGGAGCAACAUGAGCUGAAGAACUCAUAAAUGUUUGAGAACCAGCUGGGGCAGUAUGCUCUUUUGUCAACGUUCUCAACUCACACAGCAACACACUUACUGAACCAAAUGCAGUGAAGAUAUUAUGGUCAAAUGAAGUGUUCUUGGAUUUCUUCCUCAGUUACACUAAUUCUCAAACAGUCAUUUAUAUGUGGAAACACCUACAUUUACACUCAUCAUUAAUAAGCAAGAAUGUCAUAAUAAACUUGUUUAUUAAUUGG